rnacentral:rRNA from 1 species
AGAGUUUGAUCCUGGCUCAGGACGAACGCUGGCGGCGUGCCUAAUACAUGCAAGUCGAACGAAACUUUCUUACACCGAAUGCUUGCAUUCACCGUAAGAAGUUGAGUGGCGGACGGGUGAGUAACACGUGGGUAACCUGCCUAAAAGAAGGGGGAUAACACUUGGAAACAGGUGCUAAUGCCGUAUAUCUCUAAGGAUCGCAUGAUCCUUAGAUGAAAGAUGGUUCUGCUAUCGCUUUUAGAUGGACCCGCGGCGUAUUAACUAGUUGGUGGGGUAACGGCCUACCAAGGUGAUGAUACGUAGCCGAACUGAGAGGUUGAUCGGCCACAUUGGGACUGAGACACGGCCCAAACUCCUACGGGAGGCAGCAGUAGGGAAUCUUCCACAAUGGACGCAAGUCUGAUGGAGCAACGCCGCGUGAGUGAAGAAGGGUUUCGGCUCGUAAAGCUCUGUUGGUAGUGAAGAAAGAUAGAGGUAGUAACUGGCCUUUAUUUGACGGUAAUUACUUAGAAAGUCACGGCUAACUACGUGCCAGCAGCCGCAGUAAUACGUAGGUGGCAAGCGUUGUCCGG